UGCCCAGCAACUCCUAUCGCUACCUCCUCGCGGUACUGGCGGUACGAGUACCCUUAGGGAAGAUCGGGUAACCAACCCCCGGUGGGAACUUUGGUCGUAUGCUGACAGGGAAGG
rnacentral:ribozyme from 1 species